UUUUUAAAUCUUCAUCUUUACUUUGUUUUUGGCCCAAUGCUCAUUCAGGAGCAGGUUAUUUAAUUUUCAUGUAUUUGCAUGGCUUUGAAGGAAGUUGGACUGAACUGACUAAAGCAGUUUGCUGCAGUGGUGGUACGGUCAGAAUGAAGAAACCGUUUAAGAACAGGGUUCAGCAUAAAUGGAGCAAUCAAAGCAAAAACAGGAAUUUAGGAGCAAGCUGUCAUGUUAAAAAGACCUAUGUGGCAAGAAGCUGAUUGUGGC
rnacentral:lncRNA from 1 species